rnacentral:rRNA from 1 species
AGCGAACGCUGGCGGCAGGCCUAACACAUGCAAGUCGAACGAACUCUUCGGAGUUAGUGGCGGACGGGUGAGUAACACAUGGGAACGUGCCUUUUGGUUCGGCAUAACUCAGGGAAACUUGUGCUAAUACCGAAUGUGCCCUUCGGGGGAAAGAUUUAUCGCCAUUAGAGCGGCCCGCGUCUGAUUAGCUAGUUGGUGAGGUAACGGCACACCAAGGCGACGAUCAGUAGCUGGUCUGAGAGGAUGACCAGCCACACGGGGACUGAGACACGGCCCAGACGCCUACGGGAGGCAGCAGUGGGGAAUCUUGCGCAAUGGGCGAAAGCCUGACGCAGCCAUGCCGCGUGAAUGAUGAAGGUCUUAGGAUUGUAAAAUUCUUUCACCGGGGACGAUAAUGACGGUACCCGGAGAAGAAGCCCCGGCUAACUUCGUG